GCCCGCCACUACGCUCGGCUAAUUUUUUUGUGUUUUUAGUAGAGACGGGCUUUCACCGUGUUGGCCUAGCGGUUCUCCAACUCCUGACCUCAUGAUCCCCCCGCCUCAGCCUCCCAAAGUGCUGGGAUUACAAGCGUGAGCCACCGCGACCCGCCAACACUCUUGACAACAGUGCUGUGCUAAGAACUUGGGGGACUUCAAAAAGUUCACCAGUUCCUGUGUCCAUGGGUGAAAAGAUUUUCUACAUCUUUCCUUGACUAGAAACAGAAGUCCUGAAACAAGAAUAUAACGUCAGGAGGCCAGAGGCUUUGUCCUGCCUAAUGUGUUAUUUCCACACUGAAUAAAAGCACCUGAGUCCUGCAUUUUAAAAAGGUUGUACAUCUAGCAAUACCUAACAAAAUAGGAAAUCAACUUGGAAAGCCAAUGGCUGUGUUUUGAGUUUAUGGAGAGCCAUAUGUGGCAAGGAACUGAGGGUGGCAUCCAGGCAACAGACUUCAAGAAACUGAGGCUGUCAGUCCAACAACCCACAAGAACUGAAUCUGACCAACAAUCACAGGAACAAACUUAGAAGUAUACUCUUUCCCAGACAAACCUUCAGAUGAGACCACAGCCCCAGCCAUAAGCUUGAAAACAAUCUCAUGAGGGACCUUGAGCCACAGGCAUGUAGUAAAGCUAUGCCAGGAAUCCUGCCUGCCCCACAGAAAAUGUAAAAAAAAUAAAUUUUUA
rnacentral:lncRNA from 1 species